GAGGGUAUAAUUCAGUGGUAGAGUGCAUGCUUGGCAUGCAUGAGGUCCUGGGUUCAAUUCCCAGUACUUCUA
rnacentral:tRNA from 1 species